rnacentral:rRNA from 1 species
UACGAAGGGUGCAAGCGUUAAUCGGAAUUACUGGGCGUAAAGCGUGCGUAGGCGGUUUCUUAAGUCCGUUGUGAAAGCCCUGGGCUCAACCUGGGAACUGCGAUGGAUACUGAGGAGCUGGAGUACGGUAGAGGAAGGUGGAAUUCCCGGUGUAGCGGUGAAAUGCGUAGAUAUCGGGAGGAAUACCAGUGGCGAAGGCGGCUUCUUGGCCUGUUCUUGACGCUGAGGCGCGAAAGCUGGGGGAGCAAACGGG